UGGAAAAAGGUUGAACUUAAAAUUUUCCUUCAUAAAAAUGGCGACACCCCCUCCUUUGGAGAGUUGUCUACAGAAUGCGUUGGCCAAAGUGAAAUUUGGAAUUUUGCAGAGGGCAACGUUUCUGUCGGUGAAACCGUUUUCGGUCACAACGAGGAUAUCUGUUUUUCGUCCUCACAAAUGAGUUGCAGUUCCUCCAGUUUGUUUCUCGCUGAUUGGGCGUUUUGGUGAAGCAGUCGGACUGAAUUGUUUUGAUUAAGAAAUUUUGAAGUGGUUGUUUGUUUUGAUGGAGAGGUGUCUGUCAAUUUAGUCUGUUGUUGGCAAGUGGAGUCCCUAAAAAAACAGUUUGGUGUGAAAUGUUUGCAUCAUGCAGUUGUGUUUGUGGAGGCGCAGGCUGUCCCGGACCUCCCGGUGUAGAAGGUACUCUGACCACCUCCGCGUACGUGAGUAGCUGGAGACCAGAUGACCGCCGAGGGGCAAAACAGAAUUCCUUGUGAGUAGCAGCAGACGUCGGCAAGAUGGGGGGAGAGACGGCCACUGCUGGGGCAGUAACUAGGAGUGGUGGUGGAGAACGCGUCUCAAGUCUUGCACCGGCAGAACCCGGGAGUACGAGGCCGCCCACGAUCAUCCUCGCCAGUAGUUUCUUGCUCCGCAUUGAAAGAUGCUGACCGUGUCUCGUGAAAUACCUACGGCCGAUGUCAUUGAAGUUUAUGACACGGAUGUUGUGUCGGAUUGCCAGUUCUUCAAUGUAGGCAUUCACGAGCACGGUCUCAUCGUGGAUAGGGUGGUUUGGUUUCAGAUCGUGACGGCGUGGAAGGGUGGUUAGAACGAUCUCGGUGUCUUUUGAUCGGGACGUGAUGUAUGUCUCUAGGUGACGGUAGAUAUUUUGCUGCUUGCCCACUGCCAGGUCAUUGGUGCCAGCGAUAAACACCUCACAGCGCGUUCCGGGUCGAGGGGAUGUUUGGUCCGAGUUUAUAACGUCAAGCAACUUUCCGCCUGGCAGACACACGCCAUCAACUGAGGUUCCAGGGGCGGUCAAGUCACUCACCAGUCCAGCGAUGUGACGGGUGUGGCUGUCACCUCUGAUAAUUAUAGAUUUACGAGUAAAAUGAGUGCUAUGAUUUAGAGAAGGUUGCCUGUUAAUGGUGAGAUUUGUUUUUUUCUUAUCUGUUUUUACAUUUUGAGAUGUUUUGUUGGAUUGGCGAUUCGGUGGUAUUUGUUUUUCAUGUGAUAGAAUUUGGAAUUUAUUAUGUAUAGGUAUUGUUAACGAUUGUUUAUUACUUUUGUUGUUUUUAUUUUUAAUUUUAACUUUGGCCCAUUUCUCUUCAGAUUUAAAACUUGAAACCUUGCACGAAGUUUGCUGAUGUUUUAAGCACUGAUUUUCUGCUUCUAGAACUUCUAUGGUCGUUUUCAUGCAGCGAAUAAUCUCAGUGUUUCCGGCACAUCGCGCACACUCGACAGACUGUUCCGAUAGGUCGCACUGCGUACCGAAGUCCGCAGCAGUGGGUGACGGUUCGCACUGGACACCGCAGUCCACCGUCGCGGAAGCGCGGGCGCUCUGGUCGACGCGAGAUUCGUUCACUUGAAAGAUCUGGUCCGUGAACUCAAGCAAACGAGUGUCCGAUUCUAUUGUGUGGUUUAGCAGCUUUUGGUAUUCACUCUGAAGCCGCUCGAUCUCUUUUCUGAGUCGGGAAAUCUCCGCUACCGGAUCUUCAGAUAUUAUGUUGUUUAUGUCUCUUUGUUCUGUUGAACCAGGCGGAUAGUCAGACAGUGAGAGAUCUAAGGCGGGUGUGGAGCAGACGGGCGUUCUACAGCAAUCCAGUACAGGUGGUGUAACCGGCGUAGAAGGCACCGCAGGUAGCGCGGCGGUCGCAGACUGAGACUUCAGUAGUGGUGAUAGGAGGUUUAAUACCCAUCUCCUGCCUACGGCCCGUACGGCUAUCCAUACUACGGAUACUACGGCGGCUAUGAAUACUCUCGGCAAGGCUAUAUCGGCUGCGACUCUGGAUGUAGAUGCAGUGCAUGUAACUCAUGGAUUUGAUCGUAAUGACCAACCGUGUUAUUUAAUUUGAAUAAAAUGUUACUUUAA